rnacentral:rRNA from 1 species
AGUGAACGCUGGCGGCGUGCUUAACACAUGCAAGCCGAACGGAUCAAAGUAGCUUGCUAUUUUGGUUAGUGGCGCACGGGUGAGUAAUGUAUAGCUAACCUGCCCUUUAGUGGGGGACAACAGUUGGAAACGACUGCUAAUACCCCAUACUCCUUCUUAACAUAAGUUAAGUUGGGAAAGAUUUAUUGCUAAAGGAUGGGGCUUUAUUGUAUCAGCUAGUUGGUGAGGUAAUGGCUCACCAAGGCGAUGACGCUUACCUGGUCUGAGAGGAUGAUCAGGCACACUGGAACUGAGACACGGUCCAGACUCCUACGGGAGGCAGCAGUGGGGAAUAUUGCACAAUGGGGGAAACCCUGAUGCAGCAACGCCGCGUGGAGGAUGACGCAUUUCGGUGUGUAAACUCCUUUUAUAAGGGAAGAUAAUGACGGUACCUUAUGAAUAAGCACCGGCUAACUCCGUGCCAGCAGCCGCCGUAACAC